UUAUACAGGCAAAUCCGUAUAACAAUACUCCGAGAACUGAAAGGCUUUUUGAAGUCUUCGGAUGGAUAGAAGAACCCCUGAUGCCGUCGAGCCAAGAAAAGUUUCUAAGUUUAGCUAAUGUUGCCCGUACCGUAAACCGACACAGGUGGGUGGGAUGAGUAUUCUAAGGCGCGUGGAAGAACUCUCUUUAAGGAACUCUGCAAAAUAGCACCGUAUCUUCGGUAUAAGGUGUGGUUAGCUUUGUAUUAGGAUUUACUCCGAAAGCAAGGAAACUUACAACAAAGAGUCCCUCCCGACUGUUUACCAAAAACACAGCACUCUGCUAACUCGUAAGAGGAUGUAUAGGGUGUGACGCCUGCCCGGUGCUCGAAGGUUAAUUGAUGGGGUUAGCAUUAGCGAAGCUCUUGAUCGAAGCCCGAGUAAACGGCGGCCGUAACUAUAACGGUCCUAAGGUAGCGAAAUUCCUUGUCGGUUAAAUACCGACCUGCAUGAAUGGCGUAACGAGAUGGGAGCUGUCUCAAAGAGGGAUCCAGUGAAAUUGUAGUGGAGGUGAAAAUUCCUCCUACCCGCGGCAAGACGGAAAGACCCCGUGGACCUUUACUACAGCUUGACACUGCUACUUGGAUAAGAAUGUGCAGGAUAGGUGGGAGGCUUUGAGUAUAUGACGCCAGUUGUAUAUGAGCCAUUGUUGAGAUACCACUCUUUCUUAUUUGGGUAGCUAACCAGCUUGAGUUAUCCUCAAGUGGGACAAUGUCUGGUGGGUAGUUUGACUGGGGCGGUCGCCUCCCAAAUAAUAACGGAGGCUUACAAAGGUUGGCUCAGAACGGUUGGAAAUCGUUCGUAGAGUAUAAAGGUAUAAGCCAGCUUAACUGCAAGACAUACAAGUCAAGCAGAGACGAAAGUCGGUCUUAGUGAUCCGGUGGUUCUGUGUGGAAGGGCCAUCGCUCAAAGGAUAAAAGGUACCCCGGGGAUAACAGGCUGAUCUCCCCCAAGAGCUCACAUCGACGGGGAGGUUUGGCACCUCGAUGUCGGCUCAUCGCAUCCUGGGGCUGGAGCAGGUCCCAAGGGUAUGGCUGUUCGCCAUUUAAAGCGGUACGCGAGCUGGGUUCAGAACGUCGUGAGACAGUUCGGUCCCUAUCUGCCGUGGGCGUAAGAAGAUUGAAGAGAUUUGACCCUAGUACGAGAGGACCGGGUUGAACAAACCACUGGUGUAGCUGUUGUUCUGCCAAGAGCAUCGCAGCGUAGCUAAGUUUGGAAAGGAUAAACGCUGAAAGCAUCUAAGCGUGAAGCCAACUCUAAGAUGAAUCUUCUCUAAGCUCUCUAGAAGACUACUAGUUUGAUAGGCUGGGUGUGUAAUGGAUGAAAGUCCUUUAGCUGACCAGUACUAAUAGAGCGUUUGGCUUAUCUUUAAUAAAGCAU
rnacentral:rRNA from 1 species